GGAGACGUGUCAGAGUGGUCUAACGUACCCCCUUGCUAAGGGGGCAGGUGUCAAAGCCUCGCGAGUUCGAAUCUCGCCGUCUCCGCCG
rnacentral:tRNA from 1 species